rnacentral:rRNA from 1 species
UACGUAGGCAGCGAGCGUUGUUCGGAAUUACUGGGCGUAAAGAGUGUGUAGGCGGUGCUCUAAGUUCGGUGUGAAAUCUCCCGGCUUAACUGGGAGGGUGCGCCGGAAACUGGAGUGCUCGAGCGUGGGAGAGGAAAGCGGAAUUCCUGGUGUAGCGGUGAAAUGCGUAGAUAUCAGGAGGAACACCUGUGGUGUAGACAGCUUACUGGACCAUUUCUGACGCUGAGACACGAAAGCGUGGGGAGCAAACAGG